UAGAGUUUGAUCCUGGCUCAGAGCGAACGCUGGCGGCAGGCUUAACACAUGCAAGUCGAGCGGGCAUCUUCGGAUGUCAGCGGCAGACGGGUGAGUAACACGUGGGAACGUACCCUUCGGUUCGGAACAACUCUGGGAAACUGGAGCUAAUACCGGAUACGCCCUUUUGGGGAAAGGUUUACUGCCGAAGGAUCGGCCCGCGUCUGAUUAGCUAGUUGGUGGGGUAACGGCCUACCAAGGCGACGAUCAGUAGCUGGUCUGAGAGGAUGAUCAGCCACACUGGGACUGAGACACGGCCCAGACUCCUACGGGAGGCAGCAGUGGGGAAUAUUGGACAAUGGGCGCAAGCCUGAUCCAGCCAUGCCGCGUGAGUGAUGAAGGCCUUAGGGUUGUAAAGCUCUUUUGUCCGGGACGAUAA
rnacentral:rRNA from 1 species